CUCUCUGCUGCUACCUGGUGAUCACAUAAAUCUGGUGGCAACAGUUGUAAUGAUGCCUUUUUCACUGAAGUCAGAGCAACUCGAUAGUCUAAAAGCUACGCCAGAAGCAUAAGUAUCUAUAUCUGAUCAGAACCCACUGAGGAACGGUGAAACUUAACCAAGGUCCUAGACAAAAAACUAGUAUUUAAACUCCAUCCUCAGCGGAUUAAUGGGUUUCCCUCUCUUGAACUUCAGUUUUUCACUGCUUGAAAGCACAACGCAGACACGGUAGCAGCUAUUGGGACUAGAUUUUACUUUCUGUGACAAAACCGUCAGGCUGUGUUUGUGAUUUGAAAGAGGUUUUCUUGUACAUCUCCAGAUGAAUGGCUGGCUCAUUGAUGUAAAAGAUACUUCUGUCCCUUCACCCUGUUCCUGGCCGUGAAGCCCCUUCUCACCUACACCCAUUCCAGUUCCUGAUUUCCUUGUAAACUGGAUUUGUUUGCUGAUCAAAAACUGAUCGCUUUUUUCAUGAAUUUGUUUUAGGCUGGCCUGUCUUGCUGAAGCUGCGAUGCAAGCACUAGAGCUGACGUGAAGAAAGCAUCAGGAGGACACAUCCACAACCUGCACUACUCUCUUUGGAAAUAGCGAGGUCUUAGAUCAGCCACUAAGAAGAGUACAGAUCUUCAGAGAUGUUGUUAUGACACCAGUGCACGCAUUUGGAUAUUUGGUGGGAGAGUAUGUCUUUUUGAGAAGAGAGAGCCAAAUUUUUUUCAAAGGUGCACAGGGAAAGAAGAGGAGAGGGGCACAAGCUGCAACAGAGGAGAUUCUGAUAAGGUACUGGGAAGAAUUUCUCACAGUGGGGCUAGUCAAACAUUGGAACAGAUUACCCAGACAGACUGAAAUCUCAUCCCCUGGCAAUGUUUUGCACAGGGUCCCCAACUGCAGGUUGCACUAAAUGUGGGACAGGUUUAUGCUGAUGAAGAAUAACUGGAGGUCUUCCUGCUUUUGGUUGGAGAUCCCUCACCAUCUCGCCCAUAUCCUGCAGAGAGCUUUUACAUUAAAAUGUGCUGUGCUAUAUAAAAAUAAACUGUUGCUGUUACUGGUUUGUGGUAGUACUCGUUUGUGAUAGAAGAGCAAGUGAUUACAUCACUUGGCAUCUAUGAUGACAAAUACAUAUUUGUCAAAAAUAGUUAUUUACUUUCUAUGCACUUGUUAGUUUUCUUUUACUGCUUUUGUUAUAAUAAUGGAACUUGAGGACAG
rnacentral:lncRNA from 1 species